UAGCUUGUCGCUAUAGUUACAAUUGAAAUAACGUGCUACAAUUUAUUGUUGAAAAAAAUGGCAAAAAAGUGUUUUUUGUGUGAUUCGGAUGAUGGUGUAAUUGACUUUAAUAAUGAAACUUUUAAAAACUGUGUAUUAAAGUUAGCUUUUCGUAAAAGAAAAAACUUUAAAUACAAUGUUGUUGAGCUACCCCGUGCGUCACUUGAAUUUGUAGGUUAACAUACCACGUGUUACAAAAAAGUGACCGUUUUGAAGAAAAUAUACAACGAAGAAUUUGAUACUUUUUGUGCCGAAUAUACAGAGCAUACCAAUGCAUCUACUACUCAAGAAGAAUCAAAACAGUUGAGUCCUAGUGUCGAUCCCUGUGCUACAGUUGCUGAGGGUGAAAAGAGUAAUGUUGAAGACCUGUCUCAAACUUCUGGGGACUUUGACAAGGAGCAGUCACCAUCAACAUCAACAGCAUCGACAUCAAGCAAAAUUAUUUGUCUUUUUUGUGACCAUAGCCAAAAGAGAUGUGGGAAGAAGCUGGUUAAUCUUACUUUCCCUAAUAGUGACAAAGUACCACUGCAGAUAAAAAAU
rnacentral:misc_RNA from 1 species